rnacentral:rRNA from 1 species
GGGCCCGCACAAGCGGUGGAGCAUGUGGAUUAAUUCGAUGCAACGCGAAAAACCUUACCUGGCCUUGACAUGUACCGAAUUUAGCAGAGAUGCUUUAGUGCUCGAAAGAGAACGGUAACACAGGUGCUGCAUGGCUGUCGUCAGCUCGUGUCGUGAGAUGUUGGGUUAAGUCCCGCAACGAGCGCAACCCUUGCCAUUAAUUGCCAUCAUUUAGUUGGGCACUUUAAUGGGACUGCCGGUGACAAACCGGAGGAAGGUGGGGAUGACGUCAAGUCCUCAUGGCCCUUAUGGCCAGGGCUUCACACGUAAUACAAUGGUCGGUACAGAGGAAGCCAACCCGCGAGGGGGAGCCAAUCUCAGAAAGCCGGUCGUAGUCCGGAUUGUUGUCUGCAACUCGACAGCAUGAAGUCGGAAUCGCUAGUAAUCG